rnacentral:rRNA from 1 species
GCCUACGGGACGCAGCAGUGGGGAAUAUUGCACAAUGGGGGAAACCCUGAUGCAGCGACGCCGCGUGAAGGAAGAAGUAUUUCGGUAUGUAAACUUCUAUCAGCAGGGAAGAAAAUGACGGUACCUGACUAAGAAGCCCCGGCUAACUACGUGCCAGCAGCCGCGGUAAUACGUAGGGAGCGAGCGUUGUCCGGAAUUACUGGGUGUAAAGGGAGCGUAGGCGGGGAUGCAAGUUGGGUGUCAAAACUACCGGCUCAACUGGUAGU